CCCGCGGAGUUCACAGGUAUCCAGAGGCGUCAGGCUGGCUUCCUUCUACAACCUGUUCCGGACCAGCGGCGGGGUGGCGCUGGGGGGCGUGGACCGCAGAAGUCGAGCUUGGGGCCCUGCGAGGCGCCUGCUCCGCGGACCCACGUGCGGCGGCUUUGAGGGGCGGAAAGGAAGGAAUCAUGGAGCUGCCACUUUGCAGCCCAAGUGAUGCCUCGGGGUCGGCCCCUCGAAUACCCCGCGCCGCGGACGUAUUCCUUAUAACUACUCGAGGCCAUCUGGCUCGUGGAAAAUAAUGGUGACGUUCCAAUAUCAAAACAGGUGAUUUUAGGGCAUGUUUCGAGUGUCUGAGAGAACGACCCACUUGCCCAUUUUUAAAAAUCAGUCCAAGAAGCCUGCUGGAGAAAGAACAGUGCGGUGAAAAUAUAUUCGAGUUUGAUAAACAUCUUGCUCUUCUGACAAGACAAUUGAUUAGAGCUCGUCUGUUCAUCUAAAUUGAUCAGCUCAGCUCAGAAGUAAAAGGAUGUGUCUCAUUCCUGCAAGCCUAGACCGCCUCUCUUUCCCCCUGCACCUCCAUAAUUUCCAGGGAGCGGAGUUCUUACAAUGAGUCCAGAGCAGACAUUUCCCAGAAACACCUGCUAGAAAUUAUCAAAGGCAAACAUGACGAUACCGUCCCAUCUUCUCUACCCCCCGAGACGCCACAAUACGCCUCCUUUACGUGGAAGUCAGGUGGGUCUGCUUAAUAAUAUUGAUGUCUUUGCUUUUAUAGGUCUCUUUUUUCCACUAUAAAUAUACAUGCUCACUACUGCAAAUUUAGAAAUAGAGGAAAAGCAUUUGUAAAAAUUUAAUAAUAUCUAAUCUGGGGACAGAAGUUUAAAUAACCUGAAAUGGAAUGUCCGAGGGAAAGGAAUGUACUGGAAGUGAGGAGGUUUGGAUUCUGGUCCAACCCUGCUAUAACUAGCUGGGGUGACCUCAAGUGAGUGAUUUAUUCUUGAUGAAUUUUUUUCUUCACUUGUAAAAGGAAAGGCAGGGCCCGGCACACCCAAGCUUAUAGCAUUCUAAGGUCACGGGACAGUUAAGCAGGCAGAUGCGUUAACCUCGCUGCCCGGGGUCCCGUUCCCAGCACUGCCAUUCAGGAGUUGUUGGAGCCUGUUUCAUAGCCUGUCCAUGUCCCAGUGUCCCCAUCCAUCAAUGACGAUGGUGGUCAUCUCUCUCACAUGCUG